ensembl:lncRNA
GUCUUCUCAGGACUGGAACCACCCAUGCCCAGCAGAGGGGUGAGGGUUGGUCCUUGGGAGCCUCUGCUCUUGGGAUCCAGGUCUCCUUGGGCUCCCCUGAGGGUCUGAGGGGACACAGGCAGAGAGGGCCUGAGGAGUGGGUGUCUUGAGAAUUUGCUAGGAGGCCAUGACUUAAAGAUAAAAGACAUGGCAUGGUGUAGGUCUGGGUUUGAUUUUGGAAGGUGUCCCACAGGAGCCAGCCAAGUCAGGGUCCUGGUCUGUGGAGAGCUUAGUCCAGGGAGGAGUAUUUUACACAUGGAAUUGUGUAUGCUCCUUAGCUGCAUUGGUGCAGAAUUCCAGAGAAGGCAGCAGAGGCCAUGGUCAGAGUCGGUAGAGGAAGAAAACAACACUGGCAGCCUGUCCUGCCAGCUCCUCCCUGUAGGGGGUGCCAUGGGAAUGGACUACCCCAGGAAAUGCCAAGUCUGAAAGGCACCUAGACCUAGCCCAGUGCCACAGAGGCCUCUGAAGAGGGCCUUUUAACAGAGGACCUGCAUUCCAUAUAUCGCCUCCAGUUAAUGCCAGCCUUCUUCCUUCCUUCAGCCAGGAUGUACGUCUUACAAAACCUCAUCUGUCAACUUGGUUUUUUAAGAUCAUGUAUGUUUUUGAAGUGCACUUCUGGACUUGAAAGUUAACCUGAGGGGGUCUUAGUUCCCCAGCCCCUGGGGCAGGCUCCAGAGCUGUGCUUGAUAGGACAAAUUUGAACAACAAAUAAUUUUUAACUUUUAGAAUAUGCAUGAUCCAUGCCACCCUUGGGACAUACUGAAAAUAAGCUUUUAAAAAUUUGAAUUACCAGAUGUUCUGGUUUAAUUACUGUAGGUGUGGCUCAGGUCUUGAAAUAUUUUACAGGUAUUCCAGCUGACUCUAAUUUAACUGGGCGUUGUAUCUAGGGGGUGGGUGAGAUUUUCUGUUUAUUUUCAUUUGUUUUUGUCAAACCUGGCAAUCCCAACAAAUAGGAAUUAGCAGAACUUUGCCUGAAGUUACAGGUGGUUUUUUUCUCGGUUGAGAGAAGUGGGGGGUUUUGUAGAAGAGGUACCUUUUGAGUCAAGUGAAGUAGCACACAUCUGUAAUUCCAGCUACUGAGGAGGCUGAGGCAGGAGGAUUGCAAGUUUGAGGCCAACUUGGGCAAUACAACAAGACCUUAUCUCAAAAAAUAGAGCUGGUGGGCCGGGGAUUUAGCUCAGUGGUUCCGAUGCCGGCCUCGAAAGCACAAGGUCCUGAGUUCAAUCCCCGGUACAAAAGAAAAAAAAAAGCUGGAGGGCUGAGGAUUUAGCUCAAUGGUUUUGCUGCCUGCUGUGCAAGUGCAGGGACCCGAGUUCAAUGUCCGGUACCCUCCCCCCCAAAAAAAGACAUACAUUUUACCUGACACUAAGCUGUCCUUGUAUUGAGUUGGAAACCAAACAAAAUUAGCAGUUUUUUUAAACUUUGCAGUGGCCAUUUAUGUUAAACUGGUAGAUUUACUUGAGAAUUGUCAAAGAGAUUCUUUUUUCCUGAUUGCAUUUCUGACAUACUUCAAAGACAGAGCUCAAGAACCUCCUGAGCACUGUGUCCUGGAAGAGAGGUUUGCAGCUUUGGCUGUGCCCUGGAGUCUCCUGGGAAUUCUGAAAGCUCUGAUGACUGGGCAGCCCCACCCCACCCUGUGGCUCGGAUUCAACUGAAUUUGUACAUACUUCCCCAGUGAUGCUGAGGUGUGGCUCAAGGGGAGACCCCUUUGUUCUAGAAGGUUGUUGCCCAAAGGGAGAGGAAAUGGGGCUUGUUGAACCUAGGCUAGAGAGUGGACCCUCUGCUGGGACAGUCCAUGGUGGCUUUUUCUGGUGCUGAUGCUGUUGAAUGGUCCUUGCCUCAGGAUGGGAGGCCAGGUGCCUUCAGGACUGGUGGCUCUUGCUGUUCUCAGAGCCAGGAGGCUAGCAAGACUGAGUGGGUGGCAGGGUCUCUGCCUGGUACCCCUGGAGUCCUAAGUGACACGUGUCGUGACGUACUGACCAGGACUCAUUCCACAGUGGGAAUACAACAGUCAGCUGCGCGCCGUCCCCCUGAAAGCAGCCUUGGCCACAGCAGCCACCUGCUUAUACCACAGAGCAGGAGGGGACACUGGCUCUGUGGAUUCUGCCUAUUUCCUGACAGCCAAAGCCUCCAGCAAGGCCUGGUGGAGUAGAGAGAAAUCCAGUCCUCUUUUUGUGCUGUGAGUGUGAGACAUUGGCAGUUUUAACCCUAACUGUAGAUGUGACUGGAAUAGGCCAGAGUUUGGGGUGGCCCUCCUGUGAAGAAAAUGAGUGCCUGGCAGGUCCCCAGCAACCCUGCAGAGGGCCGAGGUGGAGUCUGGGUUGAAGAGGGGCCAUUUAGGACUUUGGUGCUGGCCUCCUCCACAGUCUUCACUCCCAGGCUCCCCUUGGGACCCACGGUCUCCCCUCUAACAUGGCACUUAAGACUAGUAAGACUGACGUGUGUCCCACAGAGGUCCUCAAGUUAGACGUGCCAUGCCCUUCCCUUGGAGCACUGAUCUCAGGGACCUCCUGGUCCUGACAUCCUGCUAAGCAUGCACUGGUGACAGAAGCAGCCGGUGCGAGGCAGUAGGGACUGAAACCAUGGGCUUGCCCUCCCUGCCUGGCAGGACAACCCCGAGGCCCUCCUGCCGUCCUCUCGCUGCCCACCUGAGAAAACAACUGCGUUGGAGGAGAGUUUGUUUCUCGCCCUGUGACCCUGGUGGAGGGUAAUGCCACUGUCCUUCCUGGGUACUAGGUUUCCCAUGUGACCUCACUGCCCCAACCUUGUAGGCUCCUCUCCAUUGUGACCGUAAUGCUGGGGUGUCAGACCCAGCUAGGGAUGGCAUCCCAGGCCACCCCUCCUACAGGUCUAAGUGCUGAUGUCCUAGGGGUGACCCUGUCUCCUGCUGGGACCAUCUGCUUUGCUGUGCUGCACAGGCUGUGAUUUUUGUCUGCAUGGUUUGGGGUCCCUGUCCGUGUGCCUUCUUCCCUGUCACCACUGUACAGGAUUCUCCACGUUACCCUCUGCCCUGUUUUCUACGUCCCCUCUCCUCUCCUUCCCUCCCCUGCCCCGGAAAUGUGUAGCACUCAUCUUCUUUGUGGCCCCGUGCCCCCACCUUGUAAGGCCUUGCUCGCAGGCACAUCUCCUGAGGGAGGAUCAGGCCCGCUUCCCCUUGGCUUGCGCAGUCUUGUAGACACCGUCACUUUGUACAGAAUUGUUCAUUGUCUUAGGUCUGGGGGUGCUUAGUCCCUCAUCGAGCCUGCAGGUAGUUUAGAAGCCUUGCUUCCCAGAAAAGGGUAACUUUGUGUAAAGCAGCUUCUCCCACAAACCUCUUCCUGUGUUGAUGUGAAUAUUUAUAGGCGGCAGAGUGCACUUUUAACCUGGGGCAUCGGCCCGGGCAGGGAUGUUGCAGAGCUGCAGCAGCUCCGGUACCCACUCUGCCCCAGAGGAAGCCCUGGCUGUGUGGUUCCCCAUGCUUAGCAAAACUCCACUGCCUCUGGUGUAUGGAACAGCUGUGGACCCCAGUAGGGCUGAAGGAAGAGACUGCUGCCCUCCCUGCCUGCUCUUAAUACCUGCCCAGCCCCUGUCUGCUGAAGGUGCUCAGACCAGAGUGCCAUUAAUAAUCCCAGACUGUCAGGACCUUGAUGGGACAAUACUCGAGUGAGGCCUCAGCCCCUCCCACUCCGGGCAGGGUCUCCGGGGCCCAGGCGGAAAAACUGCCCCCAUGGCCUAGUGCCCAAGGGUUGGUUAGAUGGCUUUUGACUCUCUGUGGGAUUCAGCUUGGUUUUUGCCCCAGGAACCUAUGUCUGGAAAGAGCUCUGGGGCCAGAGGAGGACCUCCAUGUUCAGGUCCAGGGGAGGGAGUGUGGGCUGAGGCCCCAAGGUGGAGUCCCAGGCUCUCCACGGCAGGCACCUUCCAGGGAACUGUAAUGUACAGACCAAGGUGUAAAUAAACCGUUGGCUUUUCUUGCCUGA